rnacentral:sRNA from 1 species
CACCGCCUGGGGAGUACGACCGCAAGGUUAAAACUCAAAUGAAUUGACGGGGACCCGCACAAGUAGUGGAGCAUGUGGUUUAAUUCGAAGAUACGCGCAGAACCUUACCAACACUUGACAUGUUCGUCGCGACUUUAAGAGAUUAAAGUUUUCGGUUCGGCCGGACGAAACACAGGUGCUGCAUGGCUGUCGUCAGCUCGUGUCGUGAGAUGUUGGGUUAAGUCCCGCAACGAGCGCAACCCUCACUUUUAGUUGCCAUCAUUAAGUUGGGCACUCUGAAAGAACUGCCAGUGAUAAGCUGGAGGAAGGUGGGGAUGACGUCAAGUCCUCAUGGCCCUUACGUGUUGGGCUACACACGUGCUACAAUGGUAUCUACAACAGGAAGCAAGACGGCGACGUUAAGCAAAUCCUUAAAAGAUAUCUCAGUUCGGAUUGCACUCUGCAACUCGAGUGCAUGAAGCUGGAAUUACUAGUAAUCGUGGAUCAGCGUGCCACGGUGAAUGCGUUCCCGGGUCUUGUACACACCGCCCGUCACACCAUGGGAGUUGGUUCUACCUUAAGGCAAGGUUUCAAACCCUUGACCACGGUAUAGUCAGCGACUGGGGUGAAGUCGUAACAAGGUAGCCGUAGGGGAACCUGCGGCUGGAUUACCUCCUUUCUAAGGAUGAAUAAAAGUAAAAUUUUAUUCUAAAUAAUAUACACGGUUAAUGUUGACCGUCCUCAUUUCUCUUCUUAAAGAUUGUGUUUCUCUUGCAUGGGGGCCGGUAGCUCAGUUGGUUAGAGCACACCCUUGAUAAGGGUGGGGUCGAAAGUUCGAGUCUUUCUCGGCCCACCACUUAAAGAUUAAGGGGGAUUAGCUCAGCUGGGAGAGCGCCUGAUUUGCAUUCAGGAGGUCAGCGGUUCGAUCCCGCUAUCCUCCACCAAAAAACACUUAGCUAUAUAAAUUGUAAAUAAAAUUAAUUAAUAUCAAUAUCUAUAUCCGAACAUUAGAAAUGUUAUUAGCUAAUGUUCAAAUAAAAAUUUGAUUCAACACAGAAUUUUUUUCUG